rnacentral:rRNA from 1 species
AUGGACAUGGACUCGCCCCCUGUGUCUGUGCCCAUGCCGCCGUCCAAGCCGGCCGACCUCUCGCUCACGCUGGCGCCGGCGGCGCAGUCCGUCGCCGAGGCUGACGGCGGGGCCGGGGCGGGCGGCGACGGCGCGUGCGUCGACGGCAAGGACGUGCGCCUCUUCCCCUGCCUCUUCUGCAACAAGAAGUUCCUCAAGUCGCAGGCGCUCGGCGGCCACCAGAACGCGCACAAGAAGGAGCGCAGCAUCGGCUGGAACCCCUACUUCUACAUGCCGCCCACCUCCUCCGCGCACCUCCACGCCAAUGCCGCGCCGCCCAACUCCUCCGGCGCCACCGCCUCGGGGCCCUACGCCGGCUCUGUCGCGGGUUCUACCGCGACCGCGCCGCCCGGCGUCGCCGCGGGCCUCCCGGCGCACGCCUACGCGAGCCGUGCCUACGCGGCCUUGCCCACCACCUUCCCAAUCGCCUCCCACAGCUCCAUCAUGGUCGGCUCCGACCGGCUCCAGUACUACGCGCCGCCGCAGGGAGCGUCGGCGUCCUCGGCGGCGACCGGCGAGCUGUACAGCGGCGGCAUGCAGCAGGUGUCCCGCUUCGCCGCCGCGCACCAGCAGCAGCUCCUGGCCGUCAGCAGCAGCAGCAGCAGCAGCGAGCGCGCGAUGAUGGCCGCGGCCGAGCAGCCCGGCGCCGGGCGCGACGAGCUGAUCGACAUGCUCAACUGGAGGCGGGGCUGCCACGGGCCGACCGCCUCAGCGGCCGCCACCACCCCGUCGCCCGCCAGCACCACCACCACGCUCACCUCCGGAGGCGGCAGCAUCUACAACAACAACGGCGAGGAGGCCGAGGAGGAGCUGGACCUCAACUUGAGCCUGUAG